GCUCGCCAUAGGUGCCACGUGCCUGUAGUCCCAGCUACACGGGAAGCUGAGGCAGGAGGAUUGCUUAAGCCCAGAAGUUCUGGGCUGAAGUGCACUCUGCCGAUUGGGUGUCUGCACUAAGUUUGGCAUCAAUAUGUUGACCUCUCAGGAACAGGGGAUCACCAGAUUGACCUAAGGAAGAAUAAACUGGCCCAGGAUGGAAAUGGAGUAGGCCAAAACUCCUGUGAUGAUCAGUCUGGCAUCAUGUCUGUGAACAGCCACUGCAUUCCAGCCUGAGCAACAUAGCCAUAUGCUGUCUCUA
ensembl:misc_RNA Metazoa_SRP Metazoan signal recognition particle RNA